AUGGUCACUCUGAAUGCCUUAAAGCAAUUCUUUCCUCGGCUCGCACGUCUCAUGUUGCAGCAUCUUGGUAAGCUUCUUAGGGGAUUCACUAAUUGAUUUUUGUAUGUUCAAUCUCUUAGAUGAGGUUAAAUGGAGCGACAUGGACCAUAAGAAUUCAUAUAGCGGAUCCCAACUUGCUUGAAAUUGAGGCAUAGUUUUUGUUUUUAUGUUGAAUCGCUUAUGUAGAUGUUAAUAGUUGUUUGAAUAAGCGACAUGGACCAUAAGAAUUCAUAUAGAAGAUCCCAACUUGCUUGAAAUUGAGACGUAGUUGUUUUAUGUUGAAUCGCUUAUGUAGAGGUUAAUGUUUGUUUGAAUCGACUGCAUUGAAUUCUGC
rnacentral:lncRNA from 1 species